AGAGUUUGAUCAUGGCUCAGAUUGAACGCUGGCGGCACGCCUAACACAUGCAAGUCGAGCGGUAACAUGGUUAGUAGCAAUACUAACUGAUGACGAGCGGCGGACGGGUGAGGAACACGUAGGAACCUGCCCAAGAGAGGGGGAUAACCAAGGGAAACUUUGGCUAAUACCGCAUAAUCUCUGGCGAGAAAAGCUGCCCGCAAGGGUAGCGCUUUUGGAGGGGCCUGCGUCCGAUUAGCUAGUUGGUGAGGUAAUGGCUCACCAAGGCGAUGAUCGGUAACUGGUCUGAGAGGACGACCAGUCACACUGGGACUGAGACACGGCCCAGACUCCUACGGGAGGCAGCAGUGGGGAAUCUUGGACAAUGGGGGCAACCCUGAUCCAGCGAUGCCGCGUGGGUGAAGAAGGCCUUCGGGUUGUAAAGCCCUUUAGGCUGGGAAGAAGUUUGUGGGACGAAUACUCCUGCAAAUUGACGGUACCAGCAGAAUAAGCACCGGCAAACUCUGUGCCAGCAGCCGCGGUAAUACAGAGGGUGCGAGCGUUAAUCGGAUUUACUGGGCGUAAAGGGCGCGUAGGCGGUUAAAUGAGUGUGAUGUG
rnacentral:rRNA from 1 species